UACGUAGGUGACAAGCGUUGUCCGGAUUUACUGGGCGUAAAGAGCGCGCAGGCGGUCGUUCAAGUCGAGUGUGAAAGCCCCCGGCUCAACUGGGGAGGGUCACUCGAUACUGAUCGACUCGAAGGCAGGAGAGGGAAGCGGAAUUCCCGGUGUAGUGGUGAAAUGCGUAGAUAUCGGGAGGAACACCAGUGGCGAAGGCGGCUUCCUGGCCUGUUCUUGACGCUGAGGCGCGAAAGCUAGGGGAGCAAACGGG
rnacentral:rRNA from 1 species